rnacentral:rRNA from 1 species
UGGGGAAUAUUGCACAAUGGGCGAAAGCCUGAUGCAGCAACGCCGCGUGAGUGAUGAAGGCCUUCGGGUUGUAAAGCUCUGUCUUUUGGGACGAUAAUGACGGUACCAAAGGAGGAAGCCACGGCUAACUACGUGCCAGCAGCCGCGGUAAUACGUAGGUGGCAAGCGUUGUCCGGAUUUACUGGGCGUAAAGGAUGCGUAGGCGGAUUUUUAAGUGAGAUGUGAAAACCCUAAGCUUAACUUGGGGACUGCAUUUCAUACUGGAAAUCUAGAGUGCGGGAGAGGAGAAUGGAAUUCCUAGUGUAGCGGUGAAAUGCGUAGAGAUUAGGAAGAACACCAGUGGCGAAGGCGAUUCUCUGGACCGUAACUGACGCUGAGGCAUGAAAGCGUGGGUAGCAAACAGGAUUAGAUACCCUGGUAGUCCACGCCGUAAACGAUGAGUACUAGGUGUAGGAGGUAUCGACCCCCUUCUGUGCCGCAGUUAACACAAUAAGUACUCCGCCUGGGGAAGUACGAUCGCAAGAUUAAAACUCAAAGGAAUUGACGGGGGUCAUAGCUG